rnacentral:tRNA from 1 species
GAUUCUGUAGCUCAGCUGGAUAGAGCAACGGCCUUCUAAGCCGUGUGUCCGGGGUUCGAAUCCCCGCAGGAUCA